rnacentral:rRNA from 1 species
AUGCAAGAAAUCGUCUUCGGAUGUUUGGGCAAGCCAGAGACAGAGAAUAGAAGAUCAUGUAGGUGCGAGUGUCCAGCUUUGAUUAGGUUGCUACGUGCUACGGAUAACAGUUGGUACAUUACAGAGCACCGUGAGAGCCACAACCACUCCAUGUCGCUGACUAUGGGCGAAAAAGUGCACUGGCCAUCCCACAAGCACAUCGAUGUGUACACUAAGGAUUUGAGAAAGCAGUUGAGGGAGAAUAAUGUGAAUCUUGGUAAAGUGUACCGGAUAAUUGGCAGUUUUUUCAGAUCAGUCGAGAAGGUGCCAUUUACAAAAAAAGGACUCCAAGGAACAUUUGCGGGAAGAUAA